rnacentral:rRNA from 1 species
UACGGAGGAUGCAAGCGUUAUCCGGAUUCAUUGGGUUUAAAGGGUGCGUAGGCGGGCUAUUAAGUCAGUGGUGAAAUCCUGCAGCUUAACUGCAGAACUGCCGUUGAUACUGAUAGUCUUGAGUUUGGUUAAGGUAGGCGGAAUGUGUAAUGUAGCGGUGAAAUGCUUAGAUAUUACACAGAACACCAAUUGCGUAGGCAGCUUACUGAGACGACACUGACGCUGAGGCACGAAAGCGUGGGGAUCAAACAGGA